CAGGGAGACAACAAAAUGUUUAAUAUUAUUAUUUUGUCACCUUAGGUCGAUCGGUAUCUCACGUUCUUAAUUUGUUAAGAAUUUCAUUUCCUAAGUUUUUCUAGGUCACACCCAUUAUUUUUCCUGGGCCAUUAGCUCAGGUGGUUAGAGCGCACCCCUGAUAAGGGUGAGGUCCCUGGUUCAAGUCCAGGAUGGCCCAUAUCUCUAUGUUGGGGGUAUAGCUCAGUUGGUAGAGCGCCUGCUUUGCAAGCAGGAUGUCAGCGGUUCGAGUCCGCUUACCUCCACUGAUUACCACCUCUUCCAUAACUGGUAGAAAGGAAAUGUUUUGAGUUGUGAUUAUUAUUCUGAACGAAUCUAGCUUCCUAAUGAAAUCAUUAAGAUGCUGGACUCAUUGAAUUAAUUUCAUUGUUUUCAGAGAACCUUGACAACUGCAUAGAAUUUUUUAAAGACAAUAAGCAUCUUUAAUGAUGCAGAUUUAUUAUUUGUGCGAAUGCAUUAAUAACAAUUCUAUUAAGCUGAUGCUUCAUUUUUGAAGUUAUU
rnacentral:tRNA from 1 species